CCAGCCUUCUGAAAGGAAGAUUAAUCCAGGAUGGCAUCAUGAGUUCACAUGUCCGCAUGAUUAAAGGUAUUUUCCGGUAGACGAUGGGGAUGCGUUCCAUUAGAUAGUAGGCGGGGUAACGGCCCACCUAGUCAACGAUGGAUAGGGGUUCUGAGAGGAAGGUCCCCCACAUUGGAACUGAGACACGGUCCAAACUCCUACGGGAGGCAGCAGUGAGGAAUAUUGGUCAAUGGGCGAUGGCCUGAACCAGCCAAGUAGCGUGAAGGAUGACUGCCCUAUGGGUUGUAAACUUCUUUUAUAAAGGAAUAAAGUCGGGUAUGCAUACCCGUUUGCAUGUACUUUAUGAAUAAGGAUCGGCUAACUCCGUGCCAGCAGCCGCGGUAAUACGGAGGAUCCGAGCGUUAUCCGGAUUUAUUGGGUUUAAAGGGAGCGUAGAUGGAUGUUUAAGUCAGUUGUGAAAGUUUGCGGCUCAACCGUAAAAUUGCAGUUGAUACUGGAUGUCUUGAGUGCAGUUGAGGCAGGCGGAAUUCGUGGUGUAGCGGUGAAAUGCUUAGAUAUCACGAAGAACUCCGAUUGCGAAGGCAGCCUGCUAAGCUGCAACUGACAUUGAGGCUCGAAAGUGUGGGUAUCAAACAGGAUUAGAUACCCUGGUAGUCCACACGGUA
rnacentral:rRNA from 1 species